rnacentral:rRNA from 1 species
GAUGAACGCUGGCGGCGUGCUUAACACAUGCAAGUCGAACGAAGCACUUAAGAUUGAUUCUUCGGAUGACGUCUUUUGUGACUUAGUGGCGGACGGGUGAGUAACGCGUGGGUAACCUGCCUCACACAGGGGGAUAACAGUUAGAAAUGACUGCUAAUACCGCAUAACCCGAUAGGAUCGCAUGAUCCAGACGGAAAAGAUUUAUCGGUGUGAGAUGGACCCGCGUCUGAUUAGCUAGUUGGUGAGGUAACGGCCCACCAAGGCGACGAUCAGUAGCCGGCCUGAGAGGGUGAAUGGACACAUUGGGACUGAGACACGGCCCAAACUCCUACGGGAGGCAGCAGUGGGGAAUAUUGCACAAUGGGGGAAACCCUGAUGCAGCGACGCCGCGUGAGUGAAGAAGUAUUUCGGUAUGUAAAGCUCUAUCAGCAGGGAAGAAAAUGACGGUACCUGACUAAGAAGCCCCGGCUAACUACGUG